CUAAAUCAUUCUACUCUUUCACAUACAAACUCAGAUUAUCUAAAACUCUUAGAAUCUUCAUAUGGAUACAUAAAGUAGUGGAGAAUCACCAGGAAGUUGAAUAAAUCUCAUAGGAGUUAGGAUGAAGAAGUUAUCCCAAAUCUUACUCCCAGGAGCUGAUCCCCUCGUCAUGAGAUCUCCACUCUUUUUCCCUCUUCAAAGUUUUAUCCCAUUGGGUUUUCUUUGAUGAGGUUUUUAAUGAGGGAAGGAAUAUGACAACUUCUUGUCAUUCUAAUCAAACCAGGAUGAAUCGCGAUGUAAGAACCUUCAUUUGGAUACAUAAAGUAGUGGAGAAUCACUAGGAAGUUGAAUAAAUCUCAUAGGAGUUAGUGUUAAGUGUUGAGAUGAAGACCAAAGAGGCUGAGACAGUAACUUUAGAGUUUUACUGUGGUAACUUUCUUUUAACCACAGUAACUACU
rnacentral:lncRNA from 1 species